rnacentral:piRNA from 1 species
UGAAAAUGAACCCUUGGUGCUGUAUAUCU